AUUGAACGCUAGCGGGAUGCUUUACACAUGCAAGUCGAACGAGUGGCGGACGGGUGAGUAAUAUAUCGGAACGUGCCCAGUAGCGGGGGAUAACUACUCGAAAGAGUGGCUACUACCGCAUACUAUUGGAGCGGCCGAUACCGGCUUAGCUAGUUGGUGGGGUAAAGGCUCACCAAGGCAACGAACCGUAGCUGGUUAGCGAGGCGGACCAGCCUAACUGGGACGUAGACACGGCCCAGACUCCCACGUGAGGCAGCAGUGGGGAAUUUUGGACAAUGGGGGAAACCCUGAUCCAGCCAUCCCGCGUGUAUGAGAAGGCCGUCGGGUUGUAAAGUACUUUUGGCAGAGAAGCGGUAUCUGCAGAAUAAGCACCGGCUAACUACGUGCCAGCAGCCGCGGUAAUAC
rnacentral:rRNA from 1 species